AGCGAACGCUGGCGGCAGGCCUAACACAUGCAAGUCGAACGAACCUUUCGGGGUUAGUGGCGGACGGGUGAGUAACACGUGGGAACGUGCCUUUAGGUUCGGAAUAACUCAGGGAAACUUGUGCUAAUACCGAAUGUGCCCUUCGGGGGAAAGAUUAAUCGCCUUUAGAGCGGCCCGCGUCUGAUUAGCUAGUUGGUUGAGGUAAUGGCUCACCAAGGCGACGAUCAGUAGCUGGUCUGAGAGGAUGCUCAGCCACAUUGGGACUGAGACACGGCCCAAACUCCUACGGGAGGCAGCAGUGGGGAAUCUUGCGCAAUGGGCGAAAGCCUGACGCAGCCAGGCCGCGUGAAUGAUGAAGGUCUUAGGAUUGUAAAAUUCUUUCACCGGGGACGAUAAUGACGGUACCCGGAGAAGAAGCCCCGGCUAACUUCGUG
rnacentral:rRNA from 1 species